GUUGAAAUCGACCUAAAUCCCUAUUAGGGAUUGAAAC
rfam:Roseofilum reptotaenium AO1-A Rreptotaenium_AO1_contig_46_len_93284_cov_454.627, whole genome shotgun sequence.